UACACCUUGGUUCCAUAUAGAGAGCAUGUAGGAAUGCCAGGUGAGUGAGAGGUGAAUGGAUUUAGAAAAUGCUUGUUGGGAGGUGAAAAGUUGUGGACAGCACCUGCAGCCCAACUUGGGUGGUGGUCCAGACAAGACGAGGACUGCCAACACCCGGGUGGGUGAUUCCUGAACCCUGCUGGAAUUUAAUUGAAAACAAAAAAUUGUGACAUUCCAGGCCCCGACAAAAUAAGGAAAAAAUUAGCGAAGUGUGAGUCGAAGGCUGGAUGGGUUCUACCCAAAAAAGAUCAUCGAAAAUCAUUUGCUGACUUGGUGUGUAGCACAACCUCACUCAGUGUCCUACUGACGAGGCUGGACCCAUAAUGUAAAUACGUUGGCCCACAGGAGUGAACAGUGUUCCCAGACAAAGUACAAACUAUACAAACAAAUAAUGGUACAAAAGCAACUGUUAGUUGAAAUA